rnacentral:snoRNA from 1 species
ACCCAUCUAGAUUCCUUACCCAUCAGAUCUCAACACUGGUCUGAUUGGUUAUAAGAGGAGGAAACAUAAAAUCAAAAUUGAGCUAAAUUCUUUUGUGACGCAUGAGCUAGUUUCAAACAGAA